rnacentral:rRNA from 1 species
UACGUAGGUGGCGAGCGUUAUUCGGAUUUAUUGGGCGUAAAGGGUUCGUAGGGGGUUAGUUAAGUCGGAUGUGAAAGCCCGCAGCUCAACUGCGGAAAGCCAUUCGAUACUGGCUGACUAGAGGAUCGGAGAGGAGAGCGGAAUUCCUGGUGUAGCGGUGGAAUGCGUAGAUAUCAGGAGGAACGCCAACGGCGAAGGCAGCUCUCUGGACGAUACCUGACCCUGAGGAACGAAAGCUAGGGGAGCAAACAGG